UUAUCUAAUAAUUAUUACCACGAAGAGAACUUUAAUCGUACUGGCUCGCGUAUAUCUGCAAUGGUGAAGAGAUAUACUUACUCUUUCACGCGAUAGCAUCGAGUUUCAUGAUUGAAACUAGUAUACUUAAAAAAAAAAAAAAAAAAAAAAAGGAGACGUCUAAGUAAUUGUUGUAUAGAUUGUUUCAGAACAGUGAGUGUGAGAUAUGUCCAUUAAUAUCAUCGAUAACAAGGCCUAAAAAUAUUUAACUGAGGGGAAAAAUUAAUACUCGAUGAAGCAUACACGUAUUUGAGAUGAUUUCGCACGCGUUGAAUUUUUAUGUAUGCAUAAAUAUUAAUGUUUCAUUAAAAACGGUAGUCACAGUCGUUAUAACGCUAUCUAAUAUUACGACCUGAAAUCAACAUACAGAAAUCAAUUUUUUAUUCCCAAAGUAGCUCUUAUAUAAGAAAUAUAAUUUAUGUACAUAUCCUUAUUUUGCAAUUUUCAUUAGGUUCUACAUUUUAUUUUCGCAGUACCAGUAGUUUUUGCAUUCAUAUGGAAAUAUUAUUAGAUGGUACGAAAUUUGAUGUACUUAAGAUUAACACGGACCUGAUCAGGCCCAGUCAAAUGAUCGGCUUCAAAAUUUAAUUUAAAGUAAAGUUUUAUAUUAUCUGACUUUAUGUAAAUUCUUAUAUUAUCCGAUUAAUCAGUUUCUCAAUUUUUGUUAAUAUGAGAAUUUACGUAAAGUUAGACGAACAAAAGGAACAACAAUGGACGUGUAACUUUAAAUUAAAUUUUGAAACCGGGCCUGGUAAUGUUAGUGUUAAUCUAUGUAUUAAUGUAAAAAAUAGAAAAUGAUAUGUAAAUACGUUCCGUGGACACUCCAUUUGUAUUAAAAAAUUUGCACAAUGAUUCUAGCUUUUCAAUCGAAUGAUAUAAUGAAUUUCUAAAAAGCUACGACGAUAAUUAUACAUCUCUCUGGUUCCAAAGCAGAUCGUAUUACAAUCUUAUAACGUAAUGGAAUUUCGGUUUCUAAAAUUUAUUCUCUGGUCACGAAAUACUAUGCACUAGUUCGUUUUGUGAAUCAAACAGACGUUGAUUAAUAACUUAGAUAAUGUUGCCCGAAAUGUUAUUACACGUAUUGCAAUCCUUUUGUAUUCAUCCUCACAGUCAAAGUAACUUUCUUAACGAAUAAUUUCCUCCACGUUUCUACGCUACUUAAUUUCUAUUUCCUACCAAAACACGCCUGCUGCUACUUACUGUUUUGAUAAUAAAAACACAAUUACGCAAAUUCACUUUUCCACAGCACAGACCAGUCGAAAUUUCAAUGAAAUACGCCAGGAUACCACGGAGUUAUGCAAAGCUGACAUGGCGCGCGCGAGGCGCGAAGCGCGAGUGAUAACGCGAGGUAGAUUGUCUUUCCAAUUUUACCGUUUUCUAACAGUCAGCUUGUGGUCUAGGGAGGGACUUUUUCGGUCAAAGGUUGACCUGUAUAGAUGGGCAAGAGGUUCCGCUAAACAGUUGAAUUUUAAUUCGCUUUUUAGGACGAAUAUUCAUAAGCGUGACGUCAAAAGGCCUUGAUCAGUAAUAAAAAGGUGCAUCAGCGAUAACGUUAUCGAUACUGUCGUUGCAAUUCGAUAUAACGGGUGUUUCGUGAAACUCAACCGCAUGCUCCUUUUAUUUUUCCAGUGUGUAGAAAUGGACCUGGUCUUAUUUGAAUGUACGUGCUUACUAAUUAAUGUUUCCGUACUUAACGUAUUACGUGUCACUUGUACCGUCUUUGGCCGAUAAAACCGUUGAAGUUUCCCCAUUGAAACGUUCUCAUCUCAACGUACGUAAAGCAAGGGAUGAUAUGCAUCGUGGUUUACAUGGAAAGUUCGUGUGGUAUAGAAUGGGUCAGAUGUAACUAUCCCAUUGUAACUAAUUAAUUGAAACUGUGGAUGAAACGAAAGGAAGUUACAUUAUUGGUUUUAUAUAUACUACCUACAUAGAAGUUGUAUUGUAAUGAAGAGAAGCGAUACAUUGAUCAUUUCUACAUUUCCUAAGUAGUCGUGAUUAUCGAAAUAUGUAUCUAUUUGUUCUUGCAGUUUCACGACGAUUAUGCUUUUAGAAGUAAAUAUUUUACUUUAGGCACCUUAUGCACAAGCAAUCUUUCUAUAAAAUCAUGAUUAGUUGACUUUGCCCUAUCAUAAUAUCGAAGCGAUUAUCUUCUGCACGAUAAGGGGGAUUAAAUCAAGCGUGAUUCAUGGAACGUGUCGAGAAGCCACGUGGUUGCAUGUUGCGGUUUGGUAUAAAAUGUAGAAUGUUAUUCUCUGCUGCAAAAUGAAACUCAAUCAGAGGACGUAAUUACUUACAUAAGCAAAUCGUUCGCACCAGCUUCAUCCUUGUAUCAAGAUAAUAUCGCAGGUGAUAUAUUAGUUCUUGAUUUUUAAAACAAUUGGUUUGACGCACUAGAUGUAUCUUUAAUUCCGAUUUAUUUAAUAAAAUAUACAUGCUUGUAGGUAGCGUAAUAUAUGUAAAGUUUGAAAGGGAAGUUACUAUGCUAAAGUUUUAAUAAAGGAAAAUAUGUAUCUAAUAAAGUUCCAAAUUUAAGUUAAGAAUCUCGAGUUUAGAAUAAUAAUCGAGUACUCGCUAUGUAUGUAUUUUCAUAUUGUCUCGUAUUAUUAGAAAUUGAAUGCGUUUUCUAAUAUGAGCAUCCGAAGAAUUUAAUAUAAUACGAGCGAUAUUUAAGUUUAUAACUAUGUACGUAUAGCGUUGCAUCUUAUGCAGCUUUUCACGUUAAAUUCCAAUAUGAUAGCAAAGAUAUUGUAAUUACUAAUCUAAUCCUCCGACAGCUAAUGUUAGGAAUAUUACGAAAAUUUACUAUAUUAUUGGCUCAUCAUGCAACUCAAAAUGUAAGUCUAAAUGUAUUUUUAUUUUUUACAGUGUAUAUCGUUUCUUUAAAAUUGAAUAGAUUCGAUUUAUUAAAAUGUUAUAAUAUUAUAAUAUUAUCGAUUUUGCUUCUUGCGUAAAAAAUUUAAAUUUUAAAUGUCGUCAUAAAAAAGAAGUUCAAAGGAUUCAGGUUAAAAGACCAAAUAGCUCAUGCUAUCGGAUUUUCUCGUCCUCAUUUUUCAUAGAGAAUUUGAUAUAAAUGCAGUCUAAUAUUAGCCAAAAAGGAAAACAGAACUUUGUCCUAUUAAAAUUUCACAUUUUGCUCUUUAUCAAAGAAUAAAACACGCAAAUGAAUGUAUGGAAUGUAUGAAAAACACAUUUCUUACUCUAAUGAGGUUAGUUCUCAAAUUAAUGUUUAUUUGUCAACUUCGCUAAUUGUAUUUUGAUAUUUCGUAUCUCGAUAUCCUACAAUUUUGUAUAAUUUGGAAAGUAUAACAUUUAAAUAAAAAACUGUAUCGUUUUA